UACAGAGGUCUCAAGCGUUUGUUCGGAUUCAUUGGGCGUAAAGGGCGCGUAGGCGGCGGGGUAAGUCGGGUGUGAAAUCUCAGAGCUCAACUCUGAAACUGCACUCGAUACUGCUCUGCUUGAGGACUGGAGAGGAGACUGGAAUUCACGGUGUAGCAGUGAAAUGCGUAGAUAUCGUGAGGAAGACCAGUGGCGAAGGCGGGUCUCUGGACAGUUCCUGACGCUGAGGCGCGAAGGCCAGGGGAG
rnacentral:rRNA from 1 species